rnacentral:tRNA from 1 species
GCCUGGAUGGCUCAAUGGUUGAGCAUCUGCAUUUGACUCAGAAUGUGAUCUUGGGAUCCUGGGAUCAAGUCCCACAUCAGGCU